rnacentral:rRNA from 1 species
UACAGAGGUCCCAAGCGUUGUUCGGAUUCACUGGGCGUAAAGGGUGCGUAGGUGGCGCUGUAAGUCGGGUGUGAAAUUUCGGAGCUUAACUCCGAAACUGCAUUCGAUACUGCGGUGCUUGAGGACUGGAGAGGAGACUGGAAUUCAUGGUGUAGCAGUGAAAUGCGUAGAGAUCAUGAGGAAGACCAGUGGCGAAGGCGGGUCUCUGGACAGGUACUGACGCUGAGACGCGAAAGCGUGGGUAGCAAACAGG